UUAAAUUGAAGAGUUUGAUCAUGGCUCAGAUUGAACGCUGGCGGCAGGCCUAACACAUGCAAGUCGAACGGUAACAGGAAGCAGCUUGCUGCUUCGCUGACGAGUGGCGGACGGGUGAGUAAUGUCUGGGAAACUGCCUGAUGGAGGGGGAUAACUACUGGAAACGGUAGCUAAUACCGCAUAACGUCGCAAGACCAAAGAGGGGGACCUUCGGGCCUCUUGCCAUCGGAUGUGCCCAGAUGGGAUUAGCUUGUUGGUGGGGUAACGGCUCACCAAGGCGACGAUCCCUAGCUGGUCUGAGAGGAUGACCAGCCACACUGGAACUGAGACACGGUCCAGACUCCUACGGGAGGCAGCAGUGGGGAAUAUUGCACAAUGGGCGCAAGCCUGAUGCAGCCAUGC
rnacentral:rRNA from 1 species